GGGCCGUUAGCUCAGUUGGUAGAGCAGCGGACUUUUAAUCCGUUGGCCGGGGGUUCAAGUCCCCCACGGCCCACCA
rnacentral:tRNA from 1 species